CUUGCCAGCAUUUGAAAACACGUUCACUACGUCCUGAUGUACGUUCCCUUACAGAAGUGGCUUUCUUGUAAAAGAAUCAAAAUCAUAACUAAAAUCAGUGUCUAUGAAAUAUAAGUAAUUACUGGUGUUAUAUUAUUAUAAAUUAAUUUUAUGUAUUAAUUUAUCAACAUUUUAAAAACAAGGAGACAUCGUUGUCAAGGUCAAGCCUCCAAAACAUUUGGUAUCUCUGAAGAGCACAAGAUGAAUCUUAAACGGACUUGAAACUGGCAUUUAUAACUUGAGAAAUGCAUUUAAAUCAAAUGGCCACAUAAAUGAAUUGCUGAGUCCCAGGAGGUUAAAGGCACAGUAGAGAGAGCACAGGAAAUGAUGGGAGAAAGGGAUCAGGAAAUAUCUUUACACAGACUUUCCCGCAUAAGCACCAAGGCCCAAUGUGCUCUAACCACUUGGCCACGUCUCUAACGUUAAAGACUGCUAAAGAGUAUCAGAAGAGGGCAGCCAGAUCUGAUCUUCCUUGACCCCAAUUUGCCGCACCUGCAGAAAGCCAAAUGCUGGUAGUUUACGGCCGUUUAAUUGGAGGGAAAACAGCCCUGUGAACUGCUGGCAGCUGCCUUCAUUCAGAUCUGUUACAAAUUACUGCUAAAUAGAGGAACCUUUUUCAUUUUCCCCACACAUGUGCUUACAACCCCGCGAUGACAUCAUGGCACUCUAGCCGUGCAGACGGUGGUGGAAGCGAAACCGCACCGAAAUUGAGUUGCCUGAGCUAAUUUAGAGAAAAGUAAAAGGCUGUUCUCUGGUUACUUUAAGCAGCACAUUUGAUAUGAAAGGGGAAGCUUUGAAGGAGAGGCCCGUCGGCGGCAGUCUCUUAUUAUCUGGACACGCACUGACCCGAGGAGAGAUGGUUGUGUCAAUCACAGAUUACAGCCUGCGGGACCUGAGGCGGGCUGCUGAAAAUGAACCGUGGUGUUUGUUGGAACGCAGCUCUCUGGCCGGUAAGAAAAUAAGUUAAUGGGUGCUUUGAGCUUUCGAAGCGGGGUAUGGUCAGACCCCCUAAAGGCAGCAGCUCUAGUCUGAGGAGACCGUUGGCAAGACUGGCUGUCUGUUGUACAUUAGCCGGAUUUCAUUUCAGAUGGCCUGUAAUUAUAUGGCUGAUGGGGGAAACGGUUGCUUGUGCCCUGUCAAGAUAAAAGAGAAUAAAGGGGUGGAACUUGAGCAUCAUAAUGGCAACGUAGCCUACACACUGCAAACUUUUUGGAGUGACAACUGCAUUUAAGCUACUGUAUGUAGUUUUGUGUAUUUUUUGCGACAGUUAAGCCCCCUACAGUUAAGUAAAUAGAAGUCACUGUCGUAUUUACAGUGGAUAGCUGUAUAUGUGCAUUUGUUGCUGCUGUAAAACAAUCCGCUCUUUUUGCGGAAUUUCGUACCCGCUCACCAGAACAGACAUUUGUGGGGAGCGUAGGAAAGAAACAGAAGCCAUUCGCCUUAGAAGUCUGUGUAUAAUUAGAAUGAUUUUGAAACUGAUAUUUUAAGGUUAAAAGAAAAACUUACAUACAGUGGAUUUAAAUGUCGGGAAAUAAAUUGCCUACAUUCUGAGUAAAGAAUCCAAAUAAUGUUUGAUGUAGUGAUAAAUAUAGUUGCAUUUGUCUUGCAUUAAAUGGCAACAAUUUAUAGUAAGGUUCCAUUAGUUAAGUAUAACAAUGUGCAAAACAUUUGUUACAGUAUUAACUAAUUUAUUAUUUUUGUUAAUGUUUGUUAAUAACUUACCUCUGUUAUAUGUGUGUAUAUUAAAUAGAUAAACAUUUUUAUUUUAAUGUUUUAGUAAAUGGUAAAUUUAAUGUUAAUUAAGAUUAAUAAUGCUUUAAAA
rnacentral:lncRNA from 1 species